rnacentral:rRNA from 1 species
UAUGUGAUCGUCUCUCGCAUAUCAAUAAGCGGAGGAAAAGAAACUAACAAGGAUUCCCCUAGUAACGGCGAGUGAAGCGGGAAGAGCUCAAAUUUGAAAUCUUAAAGGGUUUCCCUUUACGAAUUGUAGUUUAAGGAAGUGUUUUCUGUUGAGGUUUUGGUAAAAGUUCUUUGGAAUAGGACAUCAUAGAGGGUGAGAAUCCCGUAUUUGACCUUUACUUUCAACUUUGUGAUACACUUUCAAAGAGUCGGAUUGUUUGGGAAUGCAGUCCAAAAUGGGUGGUAAAUUUCAUCUAAAGCUAAAUAUUGGCGAGAGACCGAUAGCGAACAAGUACCGUGAGGGAAAGAUGAAAAGAACUUUGAAAAGAGAGUUAAACAGUACGUGAAAUUGUCAAAAGGGAAGCGUUUGACACCAGUGUUGUUUUUCUGAAAAUCAAUUAAAGAACUGUUUAUGCUAAGUUGUUUAGACUUUAUCAGCUAACUGUUUAGUUUUGAGCUUUUCUUUAAUGCACUUUUCAGUUAACAAGUCAACAUCAAUUUCUUUUGCUGUAAAAAAGCUUGAGGAAGGUGGCUUGAGAUUCGUCUUAAGUGUUUAUAGCCUCUUGCCUAUGCAGUCGGAGAGAUUGAGGUCUGCAGCGUAGAUCCUUCGGGGCUAAAUGCAUUUGUGCUAAGUUAUAGCAUUUUAUAGACAACUUGUUGACUAUGAUUUGUCUUGUAGCUUACUCGCUUAUGUUAUUUUACCUACGCUUAGGAUGUUGAAGACUCUACAGAGAU